rnacentral:lncRNA from 1 species
UUUUUCACAUGGCAACAACAAAGUGCCGAGCAAAAGGGGGAAAGCCCCUUAUAAAACCAUCAGAUCUCAUGAGAACUCACUCACUAUCACAAGAGCAGCAUGAGGGUAACCGCCCCCAUGAUUAAAUUACCUCCCACCGCGUCCCUCCCACGACACGUGGGGAUUAUGGGAACUACAAUUCAAGAUGAGAUUUGGGUGGGGACACAGCCAAACCACAUCACCAAGCCAGAAGGAAGACAGUGCACACCACAGAUGUGGCCUGGAACUAUGAGCCAGGAAAUGUCAUCAAAUAAAGUAACAAAAUAAUCCAUUUAACACAAACUGAACACCAAACAGCAGUCAUCCAUUCACUACACAAAUGUUAAUUGAGCACACCCUCUGUCUUAGGCCUGUGCUAUGCCCUGGGCACACAUGCAGCUGGAGAAACACUGGACAGUCAACAAGGAGCAUGAGAGCACAGGUGUCCACGGGAGAGCCCAGAGGAGGCGAAGAAAGCCGUGGUCUGAAAGAUCAGGGUCCCUUAACCAGGGACACUGACAGGCUGGACAGACAGGUGUCCUCAUGCAGAUCUGGACCCCAAAGGGAAACAGAGCAAGGCAACUUGGGGAUGUUGAGAGAAGUGAAUGGCCAUGGAGUUGAUGGACCAAGUGAGAGGGACCAAGCCUGUGAAAUAUGCAGGGACCAGCCUGGAGGGCUCCCAGGCAUGCUCAGGGGCUAGCAAUGUGUCCCAGGGGCUCUGGGAAGCCACUGGAGGUUUGUGAGCUCUGAGCCAACUGCAUCAGCACAGGUCAGCACAGGGGUGACAGACUGAGGCCACGGAUUCGGAACCGGAUCUGAACCUCAGUUCUAUCACUUCUUAGCUUAUAUCCUUGGGCAAAUUUCUCAAUGUCUUUAUGCUUCAAUUUCCUCGUCUCUAAAAGGGGAGUUUCAUUAUCUCACAGGGUUUCAAUAAGGAAUAAAUGACUUAAACGUACAUAAAAGGCUUAGCGGCCAGGCGCGGUGGCUCACACCUGUAAUCCCAGCACUUUGGGAGGCCAAGGCGGGUGGAUCAGCUGAGGUCAGGAGUUUGAGACCAGCCUGGCCAACAUGGUGAAACCCCGUCUCUACUAAAAAUACACAAAUUAGCCAGGCAUGGUGGCGCACGCUUGUAAUCCCAGCUGCUCGGAAGGCUGAGGCAGUAGAAUCACUUGAACCCGGGAGGCGGAGGUUGCAGUGAGCCAAGAUCGUGCCAUUGCACUCCAGCCUGGGCAACACAGUGAGACUCUAUCUCAAAAAAAAAAAAAAAAAAAGGCUUAGCAUAGUGUUUGGAACAUAAAUGCGUAAUAAAUAUUAGCAACUAUUAUUACUACUGUAACAGGGCAAAUAUUAAUGUGGGGUUGACACAGCCUUUGCCCCUCCCUCCCACUGCCUAUCAAUGAGAAUUCUACCAGCCCGAUUUCCCCUCUUCUUCCUUAUUUCAGCAGAAGAUUCUUGCUUGCUGGGAUCAGAGCUAACUAAGUCAUCUAGUCUGACCUAGGAGGUGUUGGGGGCUGGACCUUGGUGUGGUGAUGUGGAAGGGAGGCUCUUCAGGGGGUGCAAAACCUGCCUAUCCUGAAAAAGAGCAGAUACUGAGUUCUCCAGAGAAGGAGUAUCCAAGCUUUUUUUAAAUGGAAAAAAAAAUGGUCUGCUUUGGUGAGGGAAGGAGGAGAGAAAAGCAAUAAGGAGCUCAGAUGGGGGAGAAGUCGGGGACAUUUGUGUCAGGCUGUGGAGCAGCUGGGGGUGAAAGAAAAGUGGUUGGGAGGACAGAGGGAAUUCAAUUGAGAGCUACAUUUGGACUCCUUUUAAGUUUUUUUUCUAAAGAUGUAAGAAUAAAAUUCCCUUGUAAUUAGUCUGGCUUUUGCCCUGUGUUUCUUUAAAGUUGACUCUAUGCAGAGGCUGAGCCAUACAGACUCCUCCUCCAGGAUUUAGAAGAGUUAUAGUAUUAAUGUUGAAAAUGGGUAUAUGAAUACCUACCCUCCAGGGCUAUUCUUAGGAUUAGAUGUGGUAAUGCAGGUUGUAUCCACCAGCUUUCGAUAGAUUAUGCUGCAAACAACCCUCAAAUCAUAGUGGCUUACAACAACAAAGGUUUAUGUCCUGCUCCCGUUCCAUGUUCACUGUGGCUUGGCUGCCUGUCUGUACUCUGGGAACCAGACAGAGGAACCCGCCCCUAUCUGCGCCAGGCUGGGCUGGUGUGGAGGGAAGAAAGGCAGAACUGCAGUGGCUCUUGGAGCUUCUGCUUAGAAGCCUGUCACUUCCAAUUCCAUUCCAUUGGCCAAACAAGUCACACAUGUCGUCAACAGGGUGGGGAGCAUGAUGGCCCCACUGGGAAGGGCAGCAAAGACUUGGAACAAGAACACAAUCUGUCACAGAUAUGAAGUGCUUAGGACAGCCCCUGGCACGUGGAAAGCCCUCAAUAAAUGAUUGCAAUCAUUCGUAUCCAUCUGCAAAAUGGGAAACAUAACAGUAUCAGUCUCACAGGGAGUUUGAGGGUGAAGGGAGGAGAUAGGCAGGAAUCCCUUAGCACAGGGUCUGGCACCUUGGAAGCUGCUCAACAAAAAGCAGCUAUUGGCACGUGCUAGGUGCUGGGGAUAGAGCAACGAACACGUCUUACCUCUGUCCAGCUUAUGCUCCAAAGCAGGAAACAGUGAGAAUCAAGAGGAAGACAUAAAACAGCUCCUAUGUUGGGCAAUGGUGAUGUGCCUGCUCCCCUUCUGCCUCUGCCAUGAUUGGAAGCUUCCUGAGACCUUCCCAGAAGCCUAGCAGAUGCCAGCACUAUGCUUCCUGUACAGCCUGCAGAACCAUGAGCCAAUUAAACCUCUUUUCUUUAUACAUUA